rnacentral:sRNA from 1 species
GUCCUAUCACAGGGAAAAAGAACGGUAACAGGAAACAGCUUGCUGUUUCGCUGACUUUUCCCGGACGGGUGAGUAAUGUCUGGGAAACUGCCUGAUGGAGGGGGAUAACUACUGGAAACGGUAGCUAAUACCGCAUAACGUCGCAAGACCAAAGAGGGGGACCCUCGGGCCUCUUGCCAUGAGAUGUGCCCAGAUGGGAUUAGCUUGUUGGUGGGGUAACGGCUCACCAAGGCGACGAUCCCUAGCUGGUCUGAGAGGAUGUCCAGCCACACUGGAACUGAGACACGGUCCAGACUCCUACUGGAGGCAGCAGUGGGACUCCUACGGGAGGCAGCAGUGG